AAUAAAAAUAAACUUGCCAGAAUUACAAAUUAGUUUGGAAUUUAAUUAAAGACGAUUAACUACUCUAAAGGAAUUAAUUUUCUCUUAUUCUCGAAAAAAAUAUAUAACAAUCACUCAAACAAAAAAAUUUAUUCGAAGAAAGAAGAAAAUCCAGAUUAAGUUUGGUGUAAGACGUUCAUCCGACAGAAGUUUGAAACGUGUAGUUUGUCUUUGGAACUCGACACCAUUAUUGGGUCUAUUUACAACAAAAUGGCGCUCUAGUUGGACAGAAUCGCUAACAACCGACUCGGCUUCAUUAUAUACGGGAUUACUUCGAUUAUCAAAAGUAUCUCUUUCAGGCAACCAACGCUAUUAGAUAUCGGAUAACAGGAAAAAAUCCUGAACUUUAUAAAACGUGCGGGGGCAUUUGCUUAUAGCACGCGUACGCGAAAAACCAAAGUCCGCAUUUUAAAAGAAUUAACAAUAGUUAAAUGGAGGUUAACUAACAAGUAAGACUCGGUCGGUACAAUGACGUAAUGACAGACACGCACACGUGACGCAGCUUCUUGGAAAGAGUCCAAAUGCGGGGAAGCCAAUGGCACUCGAUGCAAAUUGACCAUGAUAUUUACAUAAAUCGUUACGGAUGGAGAGAAAUUCAAUUAAACAUUGGACCUUAAAACAUAUCGCGCACUCUGGGUCAACGCCAUCUCUCGAACGUUCUUGGCACUGCAUCCCGGGAAAUUUAAUUGCUCAUUUAUAUUUUCAUGACUCUAUUUAAUCGAGAAGACGUUAGCGAUAUACGCAUUUGCGUAUAUAGAAGACACUCGACAUUAAUAAAACUAAUUUUUGCAUUGUUCGAAAAUAAAUCUCUCUCUCCACGUAUAACGGUAGUUAUACAAAAUAACUUCUGAAUAAUGCCAUUAUAGUCAAUAUUAAUAUCCUAAAUCGAUUACCAGAAAAUUAGAUGAUGUUAUAUUUUGAACCGGUAAAGAACUAGUUGUAAAUGACGCUGAGAAAAUGUCUUUAUUACUAUUCUUCCAAACAAUGCAUACAUUGCAGUAAUCAAUGGGUAGGAAGGAACCCAGUUACACAGAAUUGAGAAAAUAUCUGUUAGAGCGCAUUAGCUGUUCAGUUCUUUGGAUAAUCAGACAAACAUUUUAUGAAAAUUUCGAUCUUUGUACAUUGUUAAAUCGAGUGAACACUAUCGAUACUUUCAACUUUCGAGAGAGACUAUCUUUCGGGUUGAACGGAAUCUCAUUGGACCCAACAAUUCUUCAUUAUUUGUUACCUUCACUGCAACGCUAUUGUGAAGAAUAGUAGGAUAACUAUUUUGUCUAGUUCUUUUUAUCUCCUUUGAUUUCAACAAGAUCCAUGUGUUCAUUUUGCUUUCUCGGAAUUCAAUAAUUCCAAUUCUGGUUAUCAGUUUUACUCGGAAAUUUCAACAAUUAAUUCGAACUAAACAGGC
rnacentral:lncRNA from 1 species